rnacentral:rRNA from 1 species
GACGAACGCUGGCGGCGUGCUUAACACAUGCAAGUGGAGCGACGAACCGGGGCUUGCCCCGGGCAGAGCCGCGAACGGGUGAGUAACACGUGGGUAACCCACCCCGAUGACCGGGACAACCCGAGGAAACUCGGGCUAAUACCGGAUGUGCUCCUUGACCUCGAGGUCAAGGCGUAAAGAUAGCUUCGGCCUUCGCAUCGGGACGGGCCCGCGGCCCAUUAGCUUGUUGGUGGGGUAAAGGCCUACCAAGGCGACGAUGGGUAGCUGGUCUGAGAGGACGAUCAGCCACACUGGGACUGAGACACGGCCCAGACUCCUACGGGAGGCAGCAGUGGGGAAUCUUGCGCAAUGCGCGAAAGCGUGACGCAGCAACGCCGCGU